AUCUUUGCGCUUGGGGCAAUGACGCAGCUAGUGAGGUUAUACCAAGGCGCGUCAAUUGCUGGUCAAAAACUAUUUCCAAACCCCCUCCUCGGCCUUGGUUCUGCCAGGGCCGUAGAGAAUUUCUGGAAAGGCUCCCUCUAAAAAAAAUAAUUCAACAUUUUUUAAUCUGAAGGAGGGUC